AAGAAGCUACGCUACUUUGGCUAGCCCUGUGGUGUUGGCUGCUCCCUUGGUGCCAGCUCCCUCACGAAACUUGAGCGUGGAUCAUUGGUGACAGCUAUGUCCGGCGUGGUGUCCAGAGAGCUGCAGAGACCUUGGGAAGUACCCUCAGCAUGCCGGGCGUCCGUGUCUGCUGGUUUGGCUGGGGUGGACUGCAGUGGAGAGGCCUUCUCUCCUUCUUUUCCCACUCCCUGCGAGGAAGAGCAGCACCAGAUGUCCUCAUCAUCCACUGUGGCGGCAGUGACAUGGCGAAGGUCAGCAGUGUCAAGAAGCUGGUCAGCAUGAUGAAGGAGGACCUGCACCAGCUUCACCUCCAGCAUCCUGGCAUUAAGAUAAUAUUUUCUUCACUGGCCCAAAGGUGCAGGUGGG